UACGUAGGGUGCAAGCGUUAAUCGGAAUUACUGGGCGUAAAGCGUGCGCAGGCGGUCUUGCAAGACAGAUGUGAAAUCCCCGGGCUUAACCUGGGAACUGCAUUUGUGACUGCAAGGCUGGAGUACGGUAGAGGGGGAUGGAAUUCCGCGUGUAGCAGUGAAAUGCGUAGAUAUGCGGAGGAACACCGAUGGCGAAGGCAAUCCCCUGGGCCUGCACUGACGCUCAUGCACGAAAGCGUGGGGAGCAAACAGG
rnacentral:rRNA from 1 species